rnacentral:rRNA from 2 species
GGGUUGUGAGGUUAAGCGACUAAGCGUACACGGUGGAUGCCCUGGCAGUCAGAGGCGAUGAAGGACGUGCUAAUCUGCGAUAAGCGCCGGUAAGGUGAUAUGAACCGUUAUAACCGGCGAUUUCCGAAUGGGGAAACCCAGUGUGAUUCGUCACACUAUCAUUAACUGAAUCCAUAGGUUAAUGAGGCGAACCGGGGGAACUGAAACAUCUAAGUACCCCGAGGAAAAGAAAUCAACCGAGAUUCCCCCAGUAGCGGCGAGCGAACGGGGAGGAGCCCAGAGCCUGAAUCAGCAUGUGUGUUAGUGGAAGCGUCUGGAAAGGCGCGCGAUACAGGGUGACAGCCCCGUACACAAAAGCGCAUGUGCUGUGAGCUCGAUGAGUAGGGCGGGACACGUGGUAUCCUGUCUGAAUAUGGGGGGACCAUCCUCCAAGGCUAAAUACUCCUGACUGACCGAUAGUGAACCAGUACCGUGAGGGAAAGGCGAAAAGAACCCCGGCGAGGGGAGUGAAAAAGAACCUGAAACCGUGUACGUACAAGCAGUGGGAGCACAGGUUUACCUGUGUGACUGCGUACCUUUUGUAUAAUGGGUCAGCGACUUAUAUUCUGUAGCAAGGUUAACCGUAUAGGGGAGCCGUAGGGAAACCGAGUCUUAACCGGGCGUUAAGUUGCAGGGUAUAGACCCGAAACCCGGUGAUCUAGCCAUGGGCAGGUUGAAGGUUGGGUAACACUAACUGGAGGACCGAACCGACUAAUGUUGAAAAAUUAGCGGAUGACCUGUGGCUGGGGGUGAAAGGCCAAUCAAACCGGGAGAUAGCUGGUUCUCCCCGAAAGCUAUUUAGGUAGCGCCUCGUGAAUUCAUCUCCGGGGGUAGAGCACUGUUUCGGCUAGGGGGCCAUCCCGGCUUACCAACCCGAUGCAAACUGCGAAUACCGGAGAAUGUUAUCACGGGAGACACACGGCGGGUGCUAACGUCCGUCGUGAAGAGGGAAACAACCCAGACCGCCAGCUAAGGUCCCAAAGUCAUGGUUAAGUGGGAAACGAUGUGGGAAGGCCCAGACAGCCAGGAUGUUGGCUUAGAAGCAGCCAUCAUUUAAAGAAAGCGUAAUAGCUCACUGGUCGAGUCGGCCUGCGCGGAAGAUGUAACGGGGCUAAACCAUGCACCGAAGCUGCGGCAGCGACGCUGAUGCGUUGUUGGGUAGGGGAGCGUUCUGUAAGCCUGCGAAGGUGACCUGUGAGGGUUGCUGGAGGUAUCAGAAGUGCGAAUGCUGACAUAAGUAACGAUAAAGCGGGUGAAAAGCCCGCUCGCCGGAAGACCAAGGGUUCCUGUCCAACGUUAAUCGGGGCAGGGUGAGUCGACCCCUAAGGCGAGGCCGAAAGGCGUAGUCGAUGGGAAACGGGUUAAUAUUCCCGUACUUGGUGUUACUGCGAAGGGGGGACGGAGAAGGCUAUGUUGGCCGGGCGACGGUUGUCCCGGUUUAAGCGUGUAGGUGUGUGUUCCAGGUAAAUCCGGUUCACUUUAACACUGAGGCGUGACGACGAGGCACUACGGUGCUGAAGCAACAAAUGCCCUGCUUCCAGGAAAAGCCUCUAAGCAUCAGGUAACAUCAAAUCGUACCCCAAACCGACACAGGUGGUCAGGUAGAGAAUACCAAGGCGCUUGAGAGAACUCGGGUGAAGGAACUAGGCAAAAUGGUGCCGUAACUUCGGGAGAAGGCACGCUGACACGUAGGUGAAGUGAUUUACUCAUGGAGCUGAAGUCAGUCGAAGAUACCAGCUGGCUGCAACUGUUUAUUAAAAACACAGCACUGUGCAAACACGAAAGUGGACGUAUACGGUGUGACGCCUGCCCGGUGCCGGAAGGUUAAUUGAUGGGGUCAGCGCAAGCGAAGCUCCUGAUCGAAGCCCCGGUAAACGGCGGCCGUAACUAUAACGGUCCUAAGGUAGCGAAAUUCCUUGUCGGGUAAGUUCCGACCUGCACGAAUGGCGUAAUGAUGGCCAGGCUGUCUCCACCCGAGACUCAGUGAAAUUGAACUCGCUGUGAAGAUGCAGUGUACCCGCGGCAAGACGGAAAGACCCCGUGAACCUUUACUAUAGCUUGACACUGAACAUUGAGCCUUGAUGUGUAGGAUAGGUGGGAGGCUUUGAAGCGUGGACGCCAGUCUGCGUGGAGCCGACCUUGAAAUACCACCCUUUAAUGUUUGAUGUUCUAACGUGGACCCGUAAUCCGGGUUGCGGACAGUGUCUGGUGGGUAGUUUGACUGGGGCGGUCUCCUCCUAAAGAGUAACGGAGGAGCACGAAGGUUGGCUAAUCCUGGUCGGACAUCAGGAGGUUAGUGCAAUGGCAUAAGCCAGCUUGACUGCGAGCGUGACGGCGCGAGCAGGUGCGAAAGCAGGUCAUAGUGAUCCGGUGGUUCUGAAUGGAAGGGCCAUCGCUCAACGGAUAAAAGGUACUCCGGGGAUAACAGGCUGAUACCGCCCAAGAGUUCAUAUCGACGGCGGUGUUUGGCACCUCGAUGUCGGCUCAUCACAUCCUGGGGCUGAAGUAGGUCCCAAGGGUAUGGCUGUUCGCCAUUUAAAGUGGUACGCGAGCUGGGUUUAGAACGUCGUGAGACAGUUCGGUCCCUAUCUGCCGUGGGCGCUGGAGAACUGAGGGGGGCUGCUCCUAGUACGAGAGGACCGGAGUGGACGCAUCACUGGUGUUCGGGUUGUCAUGCCAAUGGCACUGCCCGGUAGCUAAAUGCGGAAGAGAUAAGUGCUGAAAGCAUCUAAGCACGAAACUUGCCCCGAGAUGAGUUCUCCCUGAGACUUAGAGUCUCCUGAAGGAACGUUGAAGACGACGACGUUGAUAGGCCGAGUGUGUAAGCGCAGCGAUGCGUUGAGCUAACCGGUACUAAUGAACCGUGAGGCUUAACCUUACAACGCCGAAG